rnacentral:rRNA from 1 species
UACGAAGGGGGCUAGCGUUGUUCGGAAUCACUGGGCGUAAAGCGCACGCAGGCGGAUCGUUAAGUCAGGGGUGAAAUGCCGAGGCUCAACCUCGGAACUGCCUUUGAUACUGGCGAUCUUAGAGUCCGGGAGAGGUGAGUGGAACUGCGAGUGUAGAGGUGAAAUUCGUAGAUAUUCGCAAGAACACCAGUGGCGAAGGCGGCUCUCUGGGACGGUACUGACGCUGAGACGCGAAAGC